rnacentral:lncRNA from 1 species
GAGCUGGACAGCAGCUCUGGAACAGCGAGCUGGGCGAGAGAGCGACCAAGGCGCGUGGAGACAAUCGGCGAGCGGCGGAGCACGCGGGUGGGGCGAGUAGCGACGGCAGCUCCGGUUUUCUUCUCUCGGCGCUGCUGUUCUGCUUCUGUUUCUGUUCGAACCAGAGAGAGGAGAGGGGCGGACGCGCGUGGACGGCAGUUCGGCGGUGAGCUUGGGUGCGCGCGAGCAGCUUCGGUGGCUUGCGGGCGUGCGACGACGGCGGCGAGAGGUAGUGAUGGCAGCUCAGUCUUCGGCUUCCAUGGAGUCGAGCAACCGAAGAGGAAGAUGGGGGGUUUGGUCGACGGAGGAGAGAGAUGAGGAAGAGAAAAUCAAUUUCUCCUUUUCCUCUCACACUCUCUCUCUCUCUCUCUUAGGUCAGCCACACGUGGGCCACCACCAGCUGUCUUCCACCCUUCAAUUUUUGACAAAUAUGCCCCCUUCUAGAAGCAUUUAGG